UACGAAGGGGGCUAGCGUUGUUCGGAAUUACUGGGCGUAAAGCGUAUGCAGGCGGAUCGUUAAGUCGGGGGUGAAAUCCCGAGGCUCAACCUCGGAACUGCCUUCGAUACUGGCGAUCUUGAGUCCGGAAGAGGCGAGUGGAACUCCUGGUGUAGCGGUGAAUGCGCAGAUAUCAGGAAGAACACCGACGGCGAAGGCAGCUCGCUGGGACGGUACUGACGCUCAUGCACGAAGCGUGGGAGCAACAGG
rnacentral:rRNA from 1 species